CAGAAACGGUUGCCCAGAGAGAUCUCCAUGAAGCAUUGCGCCUGAUGCAGAUGUCAAAGUAUUCAAUCUACUCUGUGACCACCAGCGGUGUAGUCUUGGUACAUAUACUGCAUCCUGAGAGAUAAAGCAGCAAGGACUAGCAGCAUGGAUGUGAAAUAUGGUCAUGCUCUUAACCUGAUCUCCAGAAAGAUUCAAACUACUCUCAUGUGAGGAUUUGUUCUGCUAUACAUUUUCCUUUCAUUUCCCAUCCAGGUUGUGUUCAAGUGAUAGGUGGCAUUGCAAAUUAUGACCAUUUUAAAUGUUGUUUAGUGAGCCUCCAUCCGCCAAUUGGAAAUAAACUGAGGGACCUGAAGUUUCAUCUAUUAGGAGAAGCCGGUGCUUGUGCGGGUUGCCGGAUUAAUCAAGAUGGAAGCUGAUGCAAUUAGAGUCCCGUCGGUACCAUUGCCUGUGACCAUGAUGCAGACAUUCACUCUAGGAUUUGAGAUUUUCUUUUCUCAUCCCCUACGAUAGAUUAUAGCUCAAGGAGUGAAUUCAUCCACGUCUACAUAUUUUCAUCUUUUGUUGUGUUUUGGCAUAACCAUUAUUUGAUUUGAGUUUUUGUAAGCGUGCUGAAGUCUUAUUGAUUGUGUUCCUGCAAAUAAACAUGAUCACCAAAUGGGCGUCUUCUGAAACUUAAGAGAAUUAACUAAUUGUAUAUGCUAUUUAUUUGUGUUCUUUUUGUGAGAUUCAGAUGAUGCACACUUGAAUAUGAAUGAAGGAUGUGUCCUUGGCUAUUGGGCCCUAAUGAAAACUUUGUAUUGUAUUA